rnacentral:rRNA from 1 species
AUUGAACGCUGGCGGCAGGCCUAACACAUGCAAGUCGAACGGCAGCGGGGGGCUUGCCCCGGCAUCGAGCGGCGAACGGGUGAGUAAUACCUCGGAACCUGCCCAGUAGUGGGGGAUAACGCGGGGAAAGCCGGGCUAAUACCGCAUACGACCUGAGGGAGAAAGCGGGGGAUCUUCGGACCUCACGCUAUCAGAUGAGCCGAUGGCAGAUUAGCUAGUUGGUGGGGUAAAGGCCUACCAAGGCGACGAUCCGUAACUGGUCUGAGAGGAUGACCAGCCACACUGGAACUGAGACACGGCCCAGACUCCUACGGGAGGCAGCAGUGGGGAAUAUUGGACAAUGGGCGAAAGCCUGAUCCAGCCAUGCCGCGUGUGUGAAGAAGGUCUUCGGGUUGUAAAGCACUUUAAGUUGGGAGGAAAAGCAGUGAGUUAAUACCUUGCUUUUUUGACGUUACCCGCAGAAUAAGCACCGGCUAACUUCGUG